rnacentral:rRNA from 1 species
UGGGGAAUAUUGCACAAUGGGCGCAAGCCUGAUGCAGCCACGCCGCGUGAACGAUGAAGGUCUUCGGAUCGUAAAGUUCUGUUGCAGGGGAAGAUAAUGACGGUACCCUGUGAGGAAGCCCCGGCUAACUACGUGCCAGCAGCCGCGGUAAUACGUAGGGGGCUAGCGUUAUCCGGAUUUACUGGGCGUAAAGGGUGCGUAGGUGGUCUUUCAAGUCGGUGGUUAAAGGCUACGGCUCAACCGUAGUUAGCCUCCGAAACUGGAAGACUUGAGUGCAGGAGAGGAAAGUGGAAUGCCCAGUGUAGCGGUGAAAUGCGUAGAUAUUGGGAGGAACACCAGUAGCGAAGGCGGCUUUCUGGACUGCAACUGACACUGAGGCACGAAAGCAUGGGUAGCAAACAGG